rnacentral:lncRNA from 1 species
UGCCAUCUCAUGUGCUAAUCUGGAAAUAGGUAAUUAGUGUAACGACAGUUUGCGGGCGUGACGUCACCGUUGCCUGGGGCAAGGUUGGGUAGUUGUCUUGGUAGGCCCAAGCAAGGUGAACGCUCUUUUUAGCAGAGGCCGUCACGGUAAUUGGACGGUGUGGUGUGGUAGUCCCGAGCUGUGGGCCACACUAAUAUCACGUCGGCUACUGACAUUUUAUAAUUUAAACUAUAAGAACUGUGGGCUGCUAUUUCAAGCUCUACUACUGACAUUGUAUGAUCAAGCAAGAAGAUUGAAGAUGCUGAUCCAGAAUAUAUGUGCGAUAUGCAAUGUAAUGAAAUGCAUUGAACAUUGAAAUAUAUAUAUAUAAAUCGGUGAACUAAGAACAGUGAUCAGUGAAGUAGUGAACAAUGAAAAUGAACAUUAUAGCCCUGUGAACAAUUAUUUCCUUGCGUGUUUUUUUUUUUAGCUUCGUGUUUAUUUAAAUUAUAUAUACAUUUGUUCUAGUAUAAUAAAUACUAAAUAAUAUGAAGUCUUUCUGUACAACCCAUUAAUUACAAAUUCCUCUCAUUCAAAAAAAAAA